GACAGCAGACUGCAUGUCCGUAAACAAGUUUUACUAAAUAUUGUACAAUAACCGAAAAGAGAGAUGUAACUUCUAUCAUGAAUAUAGAUUAGCCAAAAACCCUACAAAUUACAAUGAAAUAUUGCUG